AUUGAACGCUGGCGGCAUGCUUUACACAUGCAAGUCGAACGGUAACAGGCCGCAAGGUGCUGACGAGUGGCGAACGGGUGAGUAAUGCAUCGGAACGUGCCCAGUCGCGGGGGAUAACUACUCGCAAGAGUAGCUAAUACCUCAUACGAUCUAUGGAUGAAAGCGGGGGACCGUAAGGCCUCGCGCGAUUGGAGCGGCCGAUGUCAGAUUAGGUAGUUGGUGGGGUAAAGGCUCACCAAGCCAACGAUCUGUAGCUGGUCUGAGAGGACGACCAGCCACACUGGGACUGAGACACGGCCCAGACUCCUACGGGAGGCAGCAGUGGGGAAUUUUGGACAAUGGGCGCAAGCCUGAUCCAGCAAUGCCGCGUGCAGGAAGAAGGCCUUCGGGUUGUAAACUGCUUUUGUACGGAACGAAACGGCUCUGGUUAAUACCCGGGGCUAAUGACGGUACCGUAAGAAUAAGCACCGGCUAACUACGUG
rnacentral:rRNA from 1 species